AUGUGUCCCAGGGCCCCUCUGCUCUCCGCUUCAUCCCCUGGGGUGUGGGGCUCCCAUGACAGCAAACCCAGCUUUCCUCCACGAGCCAGUGUAGACACAUUAAUCAUGAGUAGACUUCAGCCACCGGAAAGGCCACGGCCACCCGGGAGCCUCGUGGGCCUGCAGGGCUGUAGCGCAAGGGUUCGAGCAGUGCAGGGCUUGGCCUGGGGUUGGGGGGGGCAGGCCCGGGAGGUCCAGGGGGGACAAGUACCUGAAGCAGUGACCUGCCUGGCCCUGCCGACGGCCGCUCCUCCCCAGCCGUCUGUGGACCAGACCCCCGCACCCCUCCCCCAGGGCAGGGCUUGGGCACCUGGUCCACUGAGCCGCUCCAGUCCGAGCGCCCGUCCCGGUGUGUCCAUGGCCCCUGCUGUCACCACACUGACGUGGGAGCACAGGUGGGGCAGACUCUGGGCACACAUGCAACCCCAUCCGGGUUUGGAGUUUUCAAGGCGGGUCUUGGCUGCAUUUCUGGUAACAGCCCCCUGCCCCUGUGCACCAUGGCUUCCACGGUGGCCGAGUGCGUGCGUGGAGGCCACGGCCCUGCAGGUGCUCUGGGUGCUGAGAGCCGGGUCCCGACUCCCUCUUCCUCCUGCCCGGCCCCCAGCCCUGCCAGCGAGCAGGGCAAGGUCCCGGGACCCACAGGCCUCUAGAGUCCCACGGCGCGUGGCAUCUGCCCCCCACCACCACGCCCCCACCGCGCCCCACCGUGAGGCCAGACAGCAGCGCAGAGUCGGAGGCCACAGAACCCCAGUCCUGAGGCUGAGCCUCGGCCUCCCUGAGGGCUGGGCCCCGGGGCCCCAGCAACAUGCUGACAGCGCAGCCACAUGCCUCCGUCCUGGGCCUGUGGGUGGCCCCCUCCUCAGAGCGACCAUCUCAAGGGACAGUCCUAAGGGGGCUCCCAGGGCAGCAGGCAGUGUCCUCUGGGCCUCGUUCUCACCCACGGGAGGUCACGGGGCCGAGGGGAGGGCGGAGGAAGUGGGGGAGGAAGAAGGGGGUCACAGCAUCGGGGCGGUGCUGAGGUCAGUGCCUCCUCUUCCUCCUAGAGCACUGGUGGCCGCACACGCUGUCCCCGGGGGCUCGGUCCGCCUCGUGCAGCGUGGGCACCCUGGGCAGGGAGCAGGCCCCUCUGGCCUCCAGCCCUCGGGGGUGUGA
rnacentral:lncRNA from 1 species